GGACGAGGAGCAUGACGGCGGCGGCGGGGAGCAGCAGUAGUAGGCGAAGGCACUGCAGAUCCCCGCCGAGCAGGCUGCGCUGGUGCUCGGGGUGCUCGCCGCCGUGCUCCCCGGCGACGACGACGAACCCGCAACGGAAGGAGCUGGCGCCUCCCCGCCCCCAUCUAUCCACUCCAUCCAGAUCCUCCUGUACCCGCAGCAGAUAGAGAGAUGGAUGAUGUGAAGGAGACGAGAGGAAGGAGAAGCCAUGCCCCGUCCACUGGCUGGGCUCUGUUUCAUCACCCCAAUCUUCCUACCUCUAUCCCUUUCUUUCAGAUUUUUUGUGUGUACAUGCAUACAAGGCGCUCGAUGAAAAUCCAAGCAGGUUGCAAGGGAAGGCAAAUUCCAUUUUAUGCUCAUGUGUAAUCAUUGAUUCUUUUUUCCUCACAUUUAGCAUGCAGUAAACUUUUACUUAUAUGUACAAUAUAUUACCUCUUUCAGUUAUAUGACUUGCACACACACAAUAUAUUGCAUCUGUAGGUCAUGUGACUUGCCUACGGAAGAUAUGAGUGUCCUUGGAAAAUAUUAUUAUGCUGGAUCUACUAUGGUUGCCACAUUAUGCAAGUCAGCAUUUAGUGAUCUAAAAGUUUAGACCAUGGCAUUAUGUUCAAUGCUCAGCAAAUACACCCUUUGCAGCGACCCAGACCAGCGCCAUGGCAACAAGCUUGCCCUCCUACCCCAACCUUGAACUUGAGCGGCCGAUACCACCAUGACUUGGCGGCGCAGCUGGUGGAACCGGCCUCCCUAAGCGAGCCAUUGUAUGGCCGCCGCGCUUCCGCUCAGUAGUAUAAUUGAUCUUGGUAUGGUUUAUAGCUUCCUGCUACAACUCUUACCAUUGUCCAAUCAAGUUCAUCCAUGUCAAACACUAUCGACUUGAAACAGAGUAGUGUCAAAGAGAAGGUUUGAUUGUACUAUUUAAUCGCUCAUCAAUUUCAUCUUCUACUUUCUUCAGUUGGAAAACUUCAACCUAAAAAAGAAACUGGUGGUCUAUACGAAAUAACACAUCAGUUUUCUACUGAUUUAUGCCUCACUUUUUAUUUGUCUCAGCAGAUUAGAGUAAUAAAUUGAUGGUCAUUCUCUACUUUGUAUUUGUAUUUUUUAUGAGAUUGAUCCAAGAAAGAAUGACAUGUAUGCAAUACUCACUAAAUUGUAGGGUUGUAUAGCAAGGUUUAUAGUCUCGAAUUAUUACUGUCAAUUGUCUUAUUUUAUAAAGUAUUUUGUUUAGUGAAUAUAUAUUCCAAAAUUUCUCACGUACUGUGUCUAUAGAGGAAAAAGGACCUGAUUGCAGGACACUAAAAUAUUAUUGGCUGUCAAAGCUCCGCGGUCGCUUACACAUGUAUAUUAUCCAUGUAGUCUCGGUUAUCUAGGAUCAAUUACAACAAGGCAGUUGGAUAUUUUUUUAUAAUGGUGACAUAUUUUCUUAAUUUAAUAUACUUCCAUCUCACUAUGUUGAUUUAUUCAUGCUAUUUUGACGAGGAUGGCAUCGAUGCCAGUUCAUGGCUAUGCAAGGCAUCAGUGCUUGAUGAUUCGUCAUAGAGUGAUGUGUUACUCGUUGGGGACUUAAUUUGCAGCGGAAGCAGAUGCAGUAAACUCUGAAAACUAGAUUAUUUUUGCUCAUAUGACAUGAACACGAUGGGAUAUUUUCUGAGGGAGUUGAUCAUGCUUGCCUUUCCCUGAGCUCCAGCUAUUCACGCUACCGCAUAUCCAUCGUAGCUACAUAGAUGUCGCCAUCAUUAUGCUAUUAGACAUAAUCUGGACUACUGCCUUAAUUUCAAAAGGGUACAAUAUUAUUUUCAGUUUGUAUACCUUUAUGUAGUGUUGUAGCUUGGUUUAUUUGAAAUUGUAGUGUUCAUGUUAACAAUCACUAAAGAUCAUACAAUUGUGGAUGUAGGUUUCUAUUGAAACAAUCACUAAAAAUGAUAAAUAUGCGAGUGGUGAUAGAUUGUUUUUACCAUGUCCACCAUUUCCUAAUUUUGCUCUCAUGUCCGCCUCUAGGUUUCUCGGCAAGGCGACGGUGUGCGAACCAUGUGCGCCUGCGUAGUUGUAUUGCGGCUCGCGGAUGCGGCGGAUGUGGCACAUGAGUAGAUGAAAGAGGAAUAACCGAAGCCCCAAUGCCUCCACACAUUCUUGCUCCCUGACAAUGGGAGUACUAGUUGUACUCGAACAAGAGCGCACGGAGGGAGCUCUUCUACGCCACCCCGGCGACAGGAACAAGGAAAAUCCAGUCCACGGUGCCACCAAUGGACAAGGCACAGAGCAUGAGGUGUUUGCACCAAUUGCUUUCUUCGCACCAUGGCCAUGGCUUUGAUCGUCGAUGGACGUCACCAAUCACCUAUUCUAACUCUGGCAAGUACCCGAUGAUAUAUGAUGCCACCAGCUCUUGUGAUGUACCAUGUAAACAACCGUGUGAUCUCCCUCUUCUUUUGUGAACACGGCCUGGCGCGUCUAUCCAUCCUUUUGUACUCAAUAUCUACCUUGUACGAACAUU